rnacentral:lncRNA from 1 species
ACAGCUUGGAGGUUAGAAGCAAGAAGGAGUCAGGACACAAUUGGAGAAACUGGUUAUUUUACCAAGGCUUUGACUGGAAUGGUGCACUUUCCUUUAAGGAUCAAACAUGACUUAUGGAGCCAAUUAAAUCCCCUUGGGAAAACUGGCCUCAUUGCUUGUCUACACAGUUCCUGUCCAGGGUUCCUGACUUACGGAUGUGAGACUUCACAACCUGCUAAAAAUGAACUUUCCUAAUAACUCGGGACCUACCCAUCUAGGAAUAAACCAUCCUAUUCAUGACAGUGCCUGUGAAAGAUAAAGGAGAAAGAAUCAGGGUUGGAGAACUGGAAAAGUCUUGGCCAACCAAAUAGGCAACCCUGCAGCAAAGAUUGCCCAUUAGAAGAGUCAAAUGCUAGGAAGAAAUUGCAAACCCUACUAUUCUCACUGUGCUCAAACUUCGACUAGGAACUUCCACAAAGAGUGUGGCCUUGGCUUGAACAUUGCAGCAGCAGAUUAUGUAGGUGCUGAACUUGGAGUUUUGCACUUCUCACAGCUGACAGCAAAUUCUUUCUUCAAGGGAGACCUGAGCAGUCCUCCAUAUCUGCCAAAUUACUGCAUAGGAACAAAAAGGAGCCCUCCAUUCAUCUAAGAAGCAAAAUGAACUAGCAGAGAGAGCUUUGGCAUCAGGCAAAUCUGAUUGUAAAUACUUCUAGCAUAUAGUUGCUCUUACAUUGAGUUGGAUUGCUGGAUCAGGAAAUAUUAAUAUUUUAAAGACAUUUAUUACCAAACCAGUAUCAAAAAUAUCACUUUGGUUGACCAUGAUACCAGCAAUGGAUACAUGUAUAUGUUUCCCUGAAAUGCUAUGAAUACUGUUUUUCUGAGGCAUGAAGAGAUGCUUUCUGCCCUCGAACAACAGACUCCAAGUUCUUCAAAUUUGGAUUCUUGGACUUACAUCAGCGAUUUGCCAGGGCCUUCAGCCACAGACUGAAGGCUGCACUGUCAGCUUCCCUACUUUUGAG